AGAGCUUCUAGUCUUCGGUGUUCUAUAACCCUCAUGCCUCCGCAUACCUAGUAUUCAGCUCCCUUAUAUUGCAGAUAGAAAACUACAAGUGAUUACUGCUUGUGGGAACUCAUUAAACUAGGAUAACUCAAUUGCUUGCAAUUAUAUAUUCUCACCCUUAUUUCUCUCAGUAUCUGCUCUAUUCUGUUUGCUGGACAUUAUCACUGUGAACUGAGAGAUCAGCUGAGAGGACUGAGAAGAUAGGAUUUGUCUUUGAGACCUGAACACAUCAGAGCUCCUCAUGAAGAAGAAUUCUAGGUACUCUCAUUGCACUUAAUUAUAUUGCAUCUCUGCAGCUUAGUCUUCAACAGCUGACUGAGGGAAAUAAGAAAAAAAAUUUAAAAAUGGACUAAUAUUUUAUAUGUUGAAUGAAGAUGUUCAGCUUUAUUUCAGAACCAACUACACUAAAGAAAUCUGGGAGUGGAGAGAACUAGUCAUUUCUUUACCUAAGGAAAGGUGUACAGGUUUUUUAUUAACAAUAGGUUUUCACCCACUGGCCUCAGAAUAAUUUUGUGAUACAUCCGUAGCACCUGCUCAGAUUACUCCAGUUUCCCACUGUGUAUCUCCUAUAUGGUGGAUUACAGCUUUUGGAUGCCCACUUGCCCUAGAAGGUUAGGAACCUCAGAUACUGGACGUUCAGAAAUCCUGGACAUACAGCUGACUGGUAAAAGUCACAGCCCAUGUGUACAGCACUACAUUGCUAUGCACAGAAGUACUGUGCAUAGUCUCUGGGUGCUUUCUGGCACCUUCUGGAAGUAGCAGAUGUGCUUCUCCUGCCCACUUGCUUUCAAAAGCCAUGAAAAUUAUUUCGUGUAUUCUCUGCAGUUAUUCUGUGUAUAUACAGCAAAUCCCAUGUAUAAUGAAAGUAUUGGAAAUAGUAUGCAUAUCCUGAAUAUGCAUUUACUUAUAUCUUGCAAAAAAAAAAAAUUAUUAAGAUGAGUACUUAUGAAGGUAUUACAACUGAAAUUGGAUUCAAAUCACUUACUGUUUUGGAGCUUUCUCGAAAAUCCUUUCCUCUUGCAAACUGGGUUUCCUGAAAGGUUCAAUGUAUUUCAGUACUUGAAAGUCAGGAGGAGCAGCUAGUUUUAUUAGAGGAUACUUAAACCAGAUGUCUGUCGAGUAACUGUACUGUAUAAGCAUUGAUUUAUUUAUGUUCUUGUUAAUUAGCUAACCAUAUUUGGAAAUACGUGUGGUUAAAGGUUCAAAAAGCUGUCAGUAAUCUGAAAUCUCUGAGCAGAAUCAGAGCAAGAGAAACUUAAAAAACCUAAAUUUGCAAUUGCCUGAGAUCUAUAAAAUAAAUUACUCUCAAGGAAGUGUCAAUCAAGUAUUUUAAACACUCUAGCUCCUUAGGCUCAUAAAGUUUAUUAGUAAGAUGAUGUUUCCUUUGAAGUCACCCUGUUAUUCAAGGUGUUGUUUCUGUUGCCUCUGGCUGUUUCCUGUGAGGUCUGUCAUUCACUGCCUGCCUCUGAACUCUAAUACAGGUAAAUCAGUAGAACUAAAGAAAAUCUCCCAGGAACAAAUACCUAGAUAAGAAAAUAAUCCUUUAUUUUUGGCUUGCUGCUACAAACUGUCCGGCCCCACAACCUGGCAAAUCAGUCCCCCAGUGAUUGUUGGAAGCUUUGUUUAAAGAUAAAGUUUUCUAAGAUGUGAACACUAUUCCAAGCAGAACACACAGACAUACAUGCAACAACUGACUUGAAGAUAAGAGGCUCACUGGGAGUAAAAACACGUCUCAGCUUAGCCUGAUUUCAAGAUAGCAGCACAGCCAUACAGGAUUAGAUUUGAGGAGGAACUGUGCUCCAAAUCUGGGUCCAACUUAAAUGACUAGGUGGGAGGCAUAUAUAAAAUAGUUUUGUUCAAGGUCUUCAGUAGUCUUACUUUUUUUCUCAGUAGUCUUACUUUUUUUCUUAAAACAUCUGCAAUUGAACAUUCAUAUUUAACUUAAUAGAAAGCAUAACUUUUUGCUAGACAAAAUAAUAGCAUAGGAGAGAAAAGGAACAGGAAAAAAAAACCCAAUACUUUCAUUAAAACAGAUGUUGCAAGUUUUUGUUUGUUUUCUAUGAAGGAAUUCAUACAAAUACAAACAAAAUUAUUAGCACUGAAGUCAUCGCAGGCAUUUGUUUUAACAUAUACUUAACUUGCUGCAUGUGUUAUGAAAGGAUCACAUUACUUCAUUUCAGGUAAGAGUUUGGACUCUGCGGAUUGCUUAUCUAUUAUUACAGUUGUGUUAGUAAUGUGAACUCUGAGGAAAGUAUGCAGAAGAAAGAGAAGGCAAGCUUUGUUUUCUUGGUGAAGUUACAUUUCCUUGCAAUAAGAAAUUACAGUUAUAAAACCUUUCAUUUCUAAGAAACUUUGUGUUUGACAAACUGUAUGCAUGUAUGAAUCAUUUCACAGAAGUGGAACUAUUUUCACCCAACACUGAAGUGAAAUCAGCAUGGCAGGUGCUUCAACAGUAUGGCACAGUAACUUUGGAAAGGGAGGAGGAAAAGAAACUGCUAAAAUAAAGCUUUGCAGAGAAAGACUGUUAUCAGCCCUUCAAAUCAGAAUACAGAGAUGCUUGAUCCUUUUUUAGUUAAAGCUUUUCUUGUGGGACUUUCUACACAAAAAGAAACCAAGUCAUUUUGCUGAAAAGUAUUCAAUCUAUGUAUUUCAAACCUUCCAUCUUCUCAGUCAAGCUGGUCCUUCUGGCACCUAACACUGUAAGGGGUAACAUACACAAAGUGAUAAUACUUAUAAGCAGAUAGAAGCAAAUGAUUGUGAAACACCCUGACAGCCAUUUGAAAUGAGAAAGUUGCUAAUAGUAUUUUAGGAAGAGAUGCAUCUCCUCAGAAUUUCUGUAUAUAAUCCUAUCGGUCAAAUAUUAUGGCAUAAAUCCUUGACAGCUUGAUCAAAAUAGAUUAUAUUUGGUGGUAUUUUCCAUACAUGAAGCAAAAGUGGUACCAUAAACAAGGCAAAGUAUCAGCCUUUCAGAUUAUAUCACUUCGCAUCAUAGUAUUUGCUAAGGAAGAAGAGUUUCCGCUGAGCUCUCAGUGUCACUGUGACUCUCCUGCUGCCGGGGUCUGGCCCUGUGCACACACAGAAGCUAGUGGUAAGCUUCCUCUUGCUACUGCACUAUCUAGCCCCAAGACAGGACUUCCUCAGGAGCUCAGCAGCGCUUCCCUUUCAUUAGCCAUGUGUUUGUUACUGGGUGGAUAAAUGUAUGCUGAGCAGCCAAUGGAGAAAAUCUCUUUUACAAAUAUUAAUUCUCAUGAUAAGCUUGAGAGCUAAGCAAGUUUUUACGAUACUGAUUUCAUAUACCAGCAAAGCAUGAGGCAGAAGGGUUAAAUUAGGCUGCAAACAAAGUAGCUGCCACUGAGAAUGAAAUCUAGGAAUCCCGUUGACUUAUGAUUCCCUGUUGUCACUAGAAGGCCAAAUUCCGUCUUAAAACUACUCAACAUUGAAGUAACUUUAUUUUAAAAAAUUCUGGGCAAUUCUAUACCAAUGAAAGCUAUUAUAACGUUGCCUUGUUAAAUUCCAUUAAGUUUUAAAUGCUUGACUCAUCUAGCAUAGGUCAGUUUAAAGAAUCUGUAUUUCCUUUGAAGAGCAUGAAGUAUUGUAAUUGUGCACACCGCAGUUCUUUAAUAAUAAAUAUCUCUUCUGCUUAAAACUCAUAUUAAUAAUUUAUGGAGGCAGUCUGAAGAACAAUCUUUGCAUGUACUUUAAAGCAAAGUAGGGAGUGAAGUGCUGCUCAGAAAACACACUACAAAUAGGAUCUUCUUAUCGUUAUUUUGGAUGAAGGAAAACAGUUGUGAUACUGUUAUUUUACUCUCCUCUAGAUGCUUAGUUUUAUUCUCAGUGUCAGGAGAAUAACAACAACAAAAGGUAUCAUGACUGGAACUUUCAGUCUCACCAUUAAAAACUACCUGCCAGAAAAGAGAAAGAUUCUAACACUAAUAAGCUGAAGAUGCCCAUUGCUGAUACAUGGGAACAUAAGAAAUGAUAAAAUAAUAGUUUCUGCUUUGCAAUAAGACAAAGUGUAUUUAUUUCAAAUAUAGAUUCAAUUUUCAUUACUGAAGUAGGAAUAAGAAUUGCCACAGCAGUUUGAACUGCAAGGUUGGAGAAAAAUGUUCUCACCUGAGUAGGUAGCCAUGCCAGUAUUCACAGCUGACUUGGGGCUUCUUAACAGUGCAUGCCAAAAAGUGUUUUGAAUCCCCGUGAAAUAAAAAUGAGGGACUUAGGUUAUGCUGCGAUCAGGGCGUUUCUGCUACUGCAGAGACAGGGUCUACUUUGUGUAAUGCUGUGGCUUGACCUGCUAGCACUCAAGAAUCAAGAAGGGAGCAUCAGCAAUAUUUCUCGGAUAGCAGGGACUGAUUUCUCCGUUUAACUGAAAUCUUUGUAAACAGUGGAGAGACUGAUUCAGUUUCCAGCAAAGAUUUUGAAAAGAUAUCUUUCUAACUAGGGGGAGAGAGAAACCUUACUAAUGACUACCUAGAGAAGAGUUCUUAUCCAUCAGCAGUUUUGACAGCAACUCAAGUAAAUAUUUUUCAAGGAUCAUUAAAAGAUUUUUUUUUUUAAUUUUCCUCUAUUAGAAAGAGUUGGACAAUCUUCUGUUUUAGGGUUCUUUCUGCUCCAUUCUUCCAUGGUCUACUGGUGACUCCCUUGCUAAUCCUAACAGCAUUUAGAGAAAAUGCUCUUGCCUGAACAUUUUUUCGGGUGAAUUAGUGUGGCACAUGAUUUAUAUUUUGACUGCACCUAACUAACAAAAGGAGCAUUUAAAAAUAUAGAUCGCGGCCCUAGUCUGUGACAUACAAGAAUUGUUAUUCAUAGAGAAUUUACAUCCUCUCCUGAAUUCUUGGGCUGCUCUCCACUGGAGCACUGCAUGUUUCCUACCAAGGACUCUUGAGACCUUCAUCCCUAAGACAAGAAUACAGCACGAUUGGGGACAGCACAGCUGACCUACAUCAUUCAGCAGAUAUGAACUUUCAUUGAAAACAUGGAAGGCAGACAGUUUCCCUUAGCUGGAGUUACAGCAUCCUCUUUUGUGCCGCUAGCCUCUGCAACAUUUUUGGUUUAUCUAAAGAGCAUAUUCUUUAAAUGUGAACAAGCCAAGUCUCCUGGGAUAUGAUCUAAGUCAGCCACACACAGUCUCUUUCAGUGACUGAGUUCAAGUCAUACUUUCUGAAAAAGUUAACAAGAGCCAUGACUUUAUAAGACCAUUCAUGUUCUGUGUUAGAUUUUAUUAUGGUCACAGCAGCACAGGUAGAGCUCUGAGAUUUACACAAGCCUAUUCAUUUUAAAUGGUUCAUCCACACUUUUGAUUUUCUUUCUUUUAAGCUUUGUGAGCAAAUAGAAUGGCCUCAGCAAUGACUGAACAUUAACACUGGUUUGUUAGGUAUUCUGCAGGUAGGUGCAAUGUAGGUUACUUCUUGGAGGACUGUCAGUGCACCUCAGUUCCGACCUUUGGUGUUUCAUGUAUGUGGCACUGAAAGCCUCAGAAAACGUCACAAAACAAGCUGCAAUCAAACAACUGAACUGAACUCCCAGCAAAUAGAAAGUACAGAGUAAAAACAUGGUUAAGAAGGUGCUUCAUGAUGAUAACAUGUUUCAUUUUGAACGUCUUUUUUCUUUUGAAACUAUAUACAAAAAUAUAAUUCAGGAUUUCAUUUUUUUUUUAAUUUUCAAAUCUAUAAUAAAAUUGCACAUACCAAAAAGUUCUCCUGCUAGGACUUGCCAAACAUGUCUGGAACCAAACCCACUAAGAUCUGUCCGCUCAGUCCCCAGUACUCUGGGCUGAGACCUUACCCCUGACUACUAUCAAAGGCCAUGAAGAGCUGUUUUAAGAAGGGUGCCAGCACCUCCCAGGGAUAUAGGGAGAGCAAGGCCUUGCUGGCACUGCCAGAAAUCUUACUGCUGGGUUGUCUACUCCCAGGGAUAUUGUAUAAUCUCAAUAGACUGCAUUAUGUGUGAAAACAAAGAUGACUCUGCCUCCUUUGGGGAUAAGCAGCAUCCCUCAUAUCCAGACACUUAAUCAUAUAGGGUGAUCAGAUAAACUGACAAUCUCCCAGACAUCAGGACUGUCUAGUGCAUAUCUAAAUGUUUAAGAAAUUUAUUCCUAUUUCACAGUUACAGCCAUUUCUGAAGCAAGAUGAAAUAGGUUAAUGGCAUAGAAUAAAACACAACAAGUUUAAGAAAAGAAGCAAAGAAUUUGUAACCAACUGAAAUGGCAAGAAGUUCUAGCCAAUUAAUCAAUCUGCCGACUAAGAAAAACUCUGUAAGUAUUUGUUCAACUCUCUUCACACCCAUUCUGUCUUCAUGUCCCAUGCACAUUCACACAUUUGAGUUUUCACUCAUUAAAAUGCUCACAGGGACUGUGAUCCACUGCCGCUGAAGUCAGUAAAAAGGACUCUUAAUGAUUUCCCUUGGAUAAGACCCAAAACACACACUGCACCUUUUACAUUGUACUCUCACACACCAAGUGUUAAAUACUUGUACAUGGGAGUAGUUGCACCCACAAGGACUACACUAAUUUGGCAUGGGACAUUGCUCAUAACAUAGGACUAUAGAGGUUUCAAAGCUCUUUCAGAAAAGUCAGGAAACAGAAGGAAUACGAUGCAAUUUAUGUGACACAAUCAUAACUUAGCAAUACAAUUCAAAUAUCAGAAUGCCAAAUACAGUUCUUGCAAUCCCUGAAAAUAUGUAAUCACUCUAUACAGUAAGAUAUAAAAUGUCAAAAAAUAAAUAAUUGCAUUUCCAAAACAAAAAACAUGCCUCUGUUUUGAUUCACCAUGAGAAGGGAAAGAAAAUGAACUUGUCAAAUAAAUUAUAUGCUAUGAAUCACUUGCUCAGGUCUGUUCAUUAAACAAAACCUUUUUCAAAACACAUUGUUCUAUAUGAAGAAUGCUGUUGCUCUUUCUUCCAGCUGCAUAAAGGUCUUCCAUUCAAAAUUUCACUGUUUAUUUCACUGUUUCACUGCUAUUUAAUUACACCUAUCUUUG